rnacentral:lncRNA from 1 species
AGCAAGUCAUACUGAAAGUGGAGUCUGGACAAAAAAAAAACAAACGUUUAGCUAAAAUCAAAGUGAAUUUUGACGUGUGGUAUUUGGUAUUGUGUCUGUGGCAGGUGAAAUGACAAAUGACAAUAGUUGUGAUGACUCGUUAAAUACGAAAAUAGACGAUUACUUCAACAAAAAACAGUGUAUGUUUCUGUUCCUGCGUAAAACGGAAAUGCAUACCAGCAGCAGAAAAGGAUGUCUAACAGAUAAUGUCUUAAGCUACUUUGGUAACAAUAACUAAUAGAGGUGCAUUUCUUCGGACACAUAUUUGUCAACCCAUUACGAGUCAACUUGCAUCUAGCAUCUACUUUCUGUAUUACUGUUUCUACUUUGACGAGUAUGCAACAGCCAUGUAACAGAACAAUGUAUAGUUUGGUGCUUUUGACUGCAAGUCAGUUUGCGUGGCUGCAUAACCAUUCAGCAUUGGACUGAUAAACUUCCAUAGAGUUACUAUCACAAGACUUUCGUUGUGUUUGUUUUCAGCUGGCAAAGUCUUUCCACGAGUGCAACAAAAGUUUUUUCAUUGCAUAGUCAACAAAUUUGUGAAUGGUCCACAUCCUCUCCACAAAUUCCUUAGAAGGAAUAUUCAGUCCUCCACGGUCUAGUAUAGCAAUUGUUCAAGGUGUUCACAGCAUUUGCUUGGGAGUCGUGAAAAUCAUUGUGCCUCAGGCUUUCCAAGCACUCAACGCAAAUCUCCCGUUCACCGAUGGCUAACAGAAGAAAUCCUGAGGUCACAGCCGUUGCUAACUUGUUGUCACAUUCAUUCCCAAACCCGUUUAAAAUAAAUGCGUACCUGGUGGUCGUUUCAAUUCGUCCAACACUGCCAACUCUUCUGCGUUAAGGGACUUGAGGACGUCGAGAGCUCUUUUCUUCGGAACUUUUACGCCAGUUACUCAAGCGUUGUCGGCAACGGCACCUACAACAGUAAAUCCGAUCUUUUCUACUUCUUCGAGGAUGUGUAGGGUAAGUUUGCUCAGCUCUUCGGCUGUCAUUUUAUUGACGAGGAAAUAGCCAACGACGAUGCAAAAAGAAUUAGCCAGGCCGUUUAUAGCGAAAGUUAGCAUUUUGUUUGCCAAUUUGGCUCCAUUUACUGGUUCAACUAUUCCG